UACUCACUAAACCCCACAGCCAUAUAAAGGGGAAACAUCACAAAGCCCAUUGUACAGGUAGGAAAACAGAGGCUUAGCAAGACUAAGGUGGGCAGUUUUCAGAGUGCUGGUCUAUGGGCUGGUGACACCUUCAUCACCUGGAAAUGUAUCAUGAAAUGUCUCCAGUCACAGGCCAGACCUGCUGCCACAGAAGAGGAACCUGACUGAUACCGUCCCCAAGGACUGAACCACUCUUGGUGCACUGAUGACGUCAACUGAGUAACCACUGCUGGAGGCGCUGGACCAGGUCCUGUUGUGGGAUAGCCUUGGCCAGAGUGAUACCUUGAAUGGCAGCCUGCAAGUCAACCCAGUCCUGGUACUUUCCUCCAUGUCCUUUGGCCAAUGGAAUAUUCAGCCACCCUGCCUGCAAAGCCAUAGAAGGUACUUCAUCUAUCACCAGC